rnacentral:tRNA from 1 species
CGGGGCGUGGCGCAGCUUGGCUAGCGCGCAAAGCUGGGGGCUUUGAGGCCGGAGGUUCGAAUCCUCUCGCCCCGACUA